UACGUAGGGUGCGAGCGUUGUCCGGAAUUAUUGGGCGUAAAGGGCUCGUAGGUGGUUUCUUAAGUCUGAUGUGAAAGCCCACGGCUCAACCGUGGAGGGUCAUUGGAAACUGGGAGACUUGAGUGCAGAAGAGGAAAGUGGAAUUCCAUGUGUAGCGGUGAAAUGCGUAGAGAUAUGGAGGAACACCAGUGGCGAAGGCGACUUUCUGGUCUGUAACUGACACUGAGGCGCGAAAGCGUGGGGAGCAAACAGG
rnacentral:rRNA from 1 species